GACACUUCAUUUUACUUUCCCUCAAUGAUAAAGAAAAAAAAAUUAAGAAAAUAAAAAGCCUCAUGCCAGAUAUUGGCCCCUUUCCUAAAUGCUUACUAAAAUAUACCAUUUUGGUUUAGAAUAUGAUAAGGAAUAGAACAGAAGUAAGACUAAUAAAAAGUAGAAAUUUCUGGACACUGCCCCUGUGAUUCCAACAUAGUUUCUAGAAGAAAGAAAAAUUAUUAAAAAUCGUUGUUUUCGUUGUUUAUUUGUGUGUUUCAGCCUUUCAUGAGUAAUAAAAAUAAAAAAUCAUUCAGAGAUAAGGCUUGCAUGGUAAUGAACACUUCACAGCUAGCUGGAGAUCUUUUCUUUUCCAGUGAGAUUCCCUCAAAAUCAAAGGAACCACACUGCCUACAACAAAUAUACUAGCACUGCAAAAGUUUCACCUACUGGGAGGAAGGUGAAGCUCUGAAAAUUACUUCGGUUUUGAUUAGGAAUCUGUAUGACAGAUAUGAGGAAGAAAGAUAACUACUCCACUAGAUGCUGAAAACAGAAUAACAAAAGCCAAAGUUAACAACUGUGGAACACUCAUAACAUUUAGGGCAAAAGUGCCUUCUGUGAUCAAUGGUGCAGAUCCCUGGGAAUCCCAAACGUCAAGCAAGAGUAGAAUAUGCAACAGAAAACUGCAAUGCAGGU